CCAGUAACGGCGAGUGAAGCGGCAACAGCUCAAAUUUGAAAUCUGGCCCCCAGGGCCCGAGUUGUAAUUUGCAGAGGAUGCUUUUGGCGCGGUGCCUUCCGAGUUCCCUGGAACGGGACGCCAUAGAGGGUGAGAGCCCCGUCUGGUCGGACACCAAGCCAGUGUAAAGCUCCUUCGACGAGUCGAGUAGUUUGGGAAUGCUGCUCUAAAUGGGAGGUAUAUGUCUUCUAAAGCUAAAUACCGGCCAGAGACCGAUAGCGCACAAGUAGAGUGAUCGAAAGAUGAAAAGCACUUUGAAAAGAGGGUUAAACAGUACGUGAAAUUGUUGAAAGGGAAGCGUUUAUGACCAGACUUGGGCCCGGUGAAUCAUCCAGCGUUCUCGCUGGUGCACUUCGCCGGGCUCAGGCCAGCAUCAGUUCGCCGCGGGGGACAAAAGCUUCGGGAACGUGGCUCCCUCGGGAGUGUUAUAGCCCGUUGCACAAUACCCUGCGGCGGACUGAGGUUCGCGCUCCGCAAGGAUGCUGGCGUAAUGGUCAUCAGCGACCCGUCUUGAAACACGGACCAAGGAGUCGUCUUCGUAUGCGAGUGUUCGGGUGUCAAACCCCUACGCGUAAUGAAAGUGAACGCAGGUGAGAGCUUCGGCGCAUCAUCGACCGAUCCUGAUGUUCUCGGAUGGAUUUGAGUAAGAGCAUACGGGGCCGGACCCGAAAGAAGGUGAACUAUGCCUGUAUAGGGUGAAGCCAGAGGAAACUCUGGUGGAGGCUCGCAGCGGUUCUGACGUGCAAAUCGAUCGUCAAAUAUGGGCAUGGGGGCGAAAGACUAAUCGAACCUUCUAGUAGCUGGUUUCCGCCGAAGUUUCCCUCAGGAUAGCAGUGUUGAACUCAGUUUUAUGAGGUAAAGCGAAUGAUUAGGGACCCGGGGGCGCUCUUUAGCCUUCAUCCAUUCUCAAACUUUAAAUAUGUAAGAAGCCCUUGUUGCUUAAUUGAACGUGGGCAUUCGAAUGUAUCAACACUAGUGGGCCAUUUUUGGUAAGCAGAACUGGCG
rnacentral:rRNA from 1 species